rnacentral:tRNA from 1 species
CCUGGUGGCUCAGACGGUAAAGUGUCUGCCUGAAAUGCAGGAGACCCAGGUUUGAUCCCUGGGUCAGGA